rnacentral:rRNA from 1 species
AUUGAACGCUGGCGGCAUGCCUUAACACAUGCAAGUCGAGCGGAGAUGAGGUGCUUGCACCUUAUCUUAGCGGCGGACGGGUGAGUAAUGCUUAGGAAUCUGCCUAUUAGUGGGGGACAACAUUCCGAAAGGAAUGCUAAUACCGCAUACGCCCUACGGGGGAAAGCAGGGGAUCUUCGGACCUUGCGCUAAUAGAUGAGCCUAAGUCGGAUUAGCUAGUUGGUGGGGUAAAGGCCUACCAAGGCGACGAUCUGUAGCGGGUCUGAGAGGAUGAUCCGCCACACUGGGACGGAGACACGGCCCAGACUCCUACGGGAGGCAGCAGUGGGGAAUAUUGGACAAUGGGCGGAAGCCUGAUCCAGCCAUGCCGCGUGUGUGAAGAAGGCCUUUUGGUUGUAAAGCACUUUAAGCGAGGAGGAGGCUACCUGGAUUAAUACUCUAGGAUAGUGGACGUUACUCGCAGAAUAAGCACCGGCUAACUCUGUGCCAGCAGCCGCGGUAACAC